rnacentral:rRNA from 1 species
AGAGUUUGAUCAUGGCUCAGAUUGAACGCUGGCGGCAGGCCUAACACAUGCAAGUCGAACGGUAACAGGAAGCAGCUUGCUGCUUUGCUGACGAGUGGCGGACGGGUGAGUAAUGUCUGGGAAACUGCCUGAUGGAGGGGGAUAACUACUGGAAACGGUGGCUAAUACCGCAUAAUGUCGCAAGACCAAAGAGGGGGACCUUCGGGCCUCUUGCCAUCAGAUGUGCCCAGAUGGGAUUAGCUUGUUGGUGAGGUAACGGCUCACCAAGGCGACGAUCCCUAGCUGGUCUGAGAGGAUGACCAGCCACACUGGAACUGAGACACGGUCCAGACUCCUACGGGAGGCAGCAGUGGGGAAUAUUGCACAAUGGGCGCAAGCCUGAUGCAGCCAUGCCGCGUGUAUGAAGAAGGCCUUCGGGUUGUAAAGUACUUUCAGCGGGGAGGAAGGUGUUGUGGUUAAUAACCACAGCAAUUGACGUUACCCGCAGAAGAAGCACCGGCUAACUCCGUGCCAGCAGCCGCGGUAAUACGGAGGGUGCAAGCGUUAAUCGGAAUUACUGGGCGUAAAGCGCACGCAGGCGGUCUGUCAAGUCGGAUGUGAAAUCCCCGGGCUCAACCUGGGAACUGCAUUCGAAACUGGCAGGCUUGAGUCUUGUAGAGGGGGGUAGAAUUCCAGGUGUAGCGGUGAAAUGCGUAGAGAUCUGGAGGAAUACCGGUGGCGAAGGCGGCCCCCUGGACAAAGACUGACGCUCAGGUGCGAAAGCGUGGGGAGCAAACAGGAUUAGAUACCCUGGUAGUCCACGCCGUAAACGAUGUCUACUUGGAGGUUGUGCCCUUGAGGCGUGGCUUCCGGAGCUAACGCGUUAAGUAGACCGCCUGGGGAGUACGGCCGCAAGGUUAAAACUCAAAUGAAUUGACGGGGGCCCGCACAAGCGGUGGAGCAUGUGGUUUAAUUCGAUGCAACGCGAAGAACCUUACCUGGUCUUGACAUCCACGGAACUUUCCAGAGAUGGAUUGGUGCCUUCGGGAACCGUGAGACAGGUGCUGCAUGGCUGUCGUCAGCUCGUGUUGUGAAAUGUUGGGUUAAGUCCCGCAACGAGCGCAACCCUUAUCCUUUGUUGCCAGCGGUCCGGCCGGGAACUCAAAGGAGACUGCCAGUGAUAAACUGGAGGAAGGUGGGGAUGACGUCAAGUCAUCAUGGCCCUUACGACCAGGGCUACACACGUGCUACAAUGGCGCAUACAAAGAGAAGCGACCUCGCGAGAGCAAGCGGACCUCAUAAAGUGCGUCGUAGUCCGGAUUGGAGUCUGCAACUCGACUCCAUGAAGUCGGAAUCGCUAGUAAUCGUGGAUCAGAAUGCCACGGUGAAUACGUUCCCGGGCCUUGUACACACCGCCCGUCACACCAUGGGAGUGGGUUGCAAAAGAAGUAGGUAGCUUAACCUUCGGGAGGGCGCUUACCACUUUGUGAUUCAUGACUGGGGUGAAGUCGUAACAAGGUAACCGUAGGGGAACCUGCGGUUGGAUCACCU